rnacentral:rRNA from 1 species
GUCCUACGGGGCGCAGCAGUGGGGGAUAUUGCAUAAUGGGCGCAAGCCUGAUGCAGCGACGCCGCGUGAGCGAAGAAGUAUUUCGGUAUGUAAAGCUCUAUCAGCAGGGAAGAAAAUGGCGGUACCUGACUAAGAAGCUUCGGCUAAAUACGUGCCAGCAGCCGCGGUAAUAAGUAUGGAGCAAGCGUUAUCCGGAAUUACUGGGUGUAAAGGGAGCGUAGGCGGCAAGGCAAGUCUGAUGUGAAAACCCAGGGCCCAACCCUGGGACUGCAUUCGGAACUGUAUUGCUUGAGUAUCGGAGAGGG